ACCCAUGGAAGGAGUUACAGAGACAAAAUUUGGAGCUGUGACGAAAGGAUGGACCAUCUAGUAAUUGCCAUAUGCAGGGAUCCAACCCAUAAUCAGCUUCCAAACGCUGACAGCAUUGCAUACACUAGCAAGAUUUUGCUGAAAGGAUCCAGAUAUAGCUGUUUCUUGUGAGACUAUGCCGGGGCCUAGCAAAUACAGAAGUGGAUGAUCACAGUCAGCUAUUGGAUGGAUCACAGGGCCCCCAAUGGAGGAGCUAGAGAAAGUACCCAAGGAGCUAAAGAGAUCUGCAACCCUUUAGGUGGAACAACAAUAUGAACUAACCAGUACCCCGGAGCUCUUGUCUCUAGCUGCAUAUGUCAGUUACUUUUCAAGAGUGCAGCAGGGCCUUGAUGUAAACAAAGGAGGGCAAAAAUUUGCAUAGAAAGUCUUACAAAGUGGGGUGAAUGAAAAGAUUUGAAUUCCUUGAAAUAAAUACAAGUUUUGACUCUUUGCUCCUCCUCAUUCCAGAGUCAGCUGCAUCUUCUCUGAACCUUGUCCCUGAGACAUGAUGGUGAAGGUUGGAAGAAAUGGAUUUGGCUGUAUUGGGUGCCUGGUUACCAAGACUUCCUUCAUGUUUGGCAAAGUGGAUGUUGUUGCCAUCAAUAACCCUUUAUAUUGACCUCAACUACAUGGUCUACAGGUUUCAGCAUGACUUUUCCCAUGGCAAGUUCCAUGGCACAGUCAUGACUGAGAAUAUAAAAAUUGUCAUCACCUGGAAGGCUGUCACCAUCUUCCAGGAGUGAGAUCACACUAACAUCAAGUAGAAUGGUGCUGGUGUCAACUAUGUUGUGGCGUCUACAGUUGUCAUCACCACCACAGAGAAGGCCAGUGCCCACUUGAAGGGUGGGGCCAAAGGGACAUCAUCUCUGCCCUUUUUGCUGGUGCUCCAUGUUUGUGAUGGGUGUGAAUUAUGAGAAGUAUGACAACUCAAUAUUCACAGCAAUGUUCCCUUACCACCUUCUGCUUGCUCCCCUGUCCAAUGUCAUGCCUGACAACUUUGGCAUCCUGGAGGGGCUCAUAACCAUACUUCAUGCCAUUACUCACACCCAGAUAGCCCCUCUGGGAAGCUGUAGUGUGAUGGCUGUGGGGCUGCUAAAACAUCCCUGCAUCCACUAGUGCUGCCAAGGCUGUAGUCAAGCUCAUCCCAGAGCUGAAUAGGAAGCUCACUAGCAUGCUUUUCUGUGUUCUAUCCCCAAUGUAUUCAUCAUGGAUCUGACAUGCUGCCUGGAGAAUCCUGCCAAGUAUGAUGACAUCAAGAAGGUGAUGAAGCAGACAUCCAAGGGCCCACAUAAUGGGCAGCCUGGGCUACACUGAGAACCAGGUUGUCUCCUGUGACUUUAACAGUGAUGCCCUCUCUCCCACCUUUGAUGCUGGGGUUGUCAUUGCUCUCGAUGACAACUUUGUAAAGCUCAUUUUCUGGUGUGACAAUGAAUAUGCUAUAGCAAUGGCGUGGUAGACCUCAUGGCUUACAUGACCUCCAAGGAGUAAGGAGCUUUGGACCACCAACUCCAGCAAAGAACAAGAGUGAGAGACUCUAAGCUGCUGAGGAGUCCCUAUCCAAACUCAGUCCCCUGACACUGAACAUCUCCCUUCACAGUUUCCAUCACAGACCCCCAGAAGAAGGGGAGGAGCUUAGGGAGCCCUACUCCCUUAAAUCCCAUUGGUAAAGUUCACCGCACCUGCAAAAAAUUACAAGUUUUACAGUAUAUGAUAGAAAAGACUAAUAUUUAAUAUUUUUGCAAGUGACAAUCACUUUGCCGACUGAACAGUCUCCUGCUCUAUCUUGCCAGCCCCGAGGGAAAGUUUCAACAGAUCUGAGCACAGGUGUCAAUGGAGGGGAGAUUGCUUAAGUAAAACAGACUACUCAAUGUAGAAGAGAGUAACCAUUGAGCAUCUUAACAGAGCUGUAUGGAGAGUUUGGGUAGCUUCUGCAGUUUCCAUUGCUCUAAGGGUUUCUAAGGAUCGUUCUGUUUUCUUUUCUUUAGUAAGUGAGAUCAUAGGGUGGUUUCUGCAGAGCCUUGGACUAGCUAAGGAGCUGAUAAGAUGAAAACACAAAGGGUCAAAGGGUCAGGAAUUCUCGCAGCAUGCACGCUGCAAUGAAGGGAAGACAAGCUUUGACUGUAAACACAGUUCGAAAUUUAUCUGUGAGAGUCUCAGAAAAUGUCAGGCUUACGACCGGGGAAGGGAGAAGAACAAACUCACGAGUCAUGUAUGUAUUGGCUAUAAGCAUGAUUGCCUUUUUUAAAAUUUGAAAUAGCUCUAUGGCAAUUAAAUAUUUUCUUUUCAAUAUAGGGUAUCUUUACAGUGAAUUUUGUUAACUAUAUCAAAAUUCUCACCUUUCAGAUGAAAUUUCAACCAGGCUCCACGGUGAGGGGUUCCUUUGUCUUUCUGCUGCCCCUUAAUUUUUCAUCUUUCAGGCCUGCCUCAUGGGUAGGUUAUAAGGAUCAGAGAAACAGCUGAGGGACUUCAGUGUGUGAGGCCAGAGCUCACUAGCAGCACUAUAGCCAGGAGUGAAAAGGCGGAGAACUAGAGGAGACAACAACAACCAAAAAAUAGAUGUCCUUGACUCCCGCUGUAAAAAAAAAUGCCGACACUCUAGAGACAGGUGCAGGAAGAGAAAGAGCUCUUUCAGGGAAAGGGGAGGAAAGGCAGACCGGAGUUUUGUCAGCAAAUGUGUGACUGACACUAUCAGAAGCUGUGGGAAGUUCCUUAUUCCUCACAAGAGGCUCUGAGGCGAGCAGUUUGAGGGGCAGGAAAGAGCUUAGAGCAGAGCUGAGGAUUCCCAGGCUAGAGGCAGCCUGCUGCUCACCUUCAGCCCCAAAGGAAGAGAAUGUAAUCUUUCCCUCUUGUGAAGGCCAAGGCUGACCCUCCUACAACCAAAGACUGACAAAAGACAAAGACGAAAGGUCUACACAACAGAGUUCUACAACACGGAAGCCUCGGGACUGAAGGAACUGUAGACUCGGGGAACUUUGUCUUUCAGUUUCCUGAUGGUAGAAAGAUGCAGUGAAGAGGACAGCUGGGCUGGUUAAAGACUGCUCAUCAGACCUCAUGACCUGAGUUCAAUCCCAGGAACCUGUGUGGUGAAAGAAAACACUGACUCCCGAAAGCUGUCUUCUGAUUACCAUACAUUUACUAUGGCAUGCAUGUGGGCAAACCACACACACACACACACACAAUCAUGCACACACACACACACACACACACACAUUUACACACAAAAAUGCACUCAUACCCAGACAUACAAAGCACCAAAUAAAUAGAUACAUAAAUACAUCAAUGUCAAUUGAAGAGGAAAAGGGGGAUUGGACAGAAGCUUAUAUAUAAUAGGAAUGAGCUGGAAAUGGGAAAGGGACUCAGGAAGGCUCCAGUUGCUCUUGGCCUCUUCAUACUACCUUCUUCCUCUUCUUUGGGUUCUUAGUUCACAGUGCUCUUUCCCAGGCAGCCUCAGGGAGGCUCUAUCAGAGAGCAUCCUUUUAGAUCUAAUUCUUAUCUGCAUAGGGAAAGGGAGAAGAUGGACUGACAUUCUUGCUUCAGAGUUCCUCUCAGUCUAUUUCACUUCAGAGUACUUUGAAGUAUUUUCUGACCCCUGACAAACAAGAUGUCUCCAGUAGCUGCAAUCUCUUUAUCAAAUGUGGCAGGACUCAACAUGAUAACGGUGCAAAGGGCCUGACAGCAGCUUGUAGGAGAAGGCCCCAAACAGUAGCCGUGCAGCUCAGCAGUCUUCACUCAUUGAACGGAUUGAAUCCACACAGUGACUGUUGGGUAGCUCCCAAUGGAGUCAACUUAUCGGUAGAUGAAAAGAUACAGGAGUUAGAGGUCAUAUGGCUUAUGACUAACACGGAGCUUCUAAGCUCAGCCUUCAUGAUCACAUAAGCUAUAGACUUUAUUCACAGGCUGUGCUAAAAUAUUUUUGAACAAAUCCCCUUCCUUCUUAAGAAUGAAGGAGGCACUUUUUGUGUUUUUAAAAUUAUGAGACCAGAGAUCAGCAAAUAAAAGCACCUUGGUCCAGUCCAGUCUGUUUUGUUGUUGUUGUUGUUGUUGUUGUUUUGUUUUGUUUUGUUUUGUUUUUUUACUAUAGUCUGUGAGCUAAGAAUGACGUUGACAUUGUACUUUUAAUAAAUGAAGAGAAAUUUAACUUUAAUAUUUUGAGAUACAUAACAAUCGUAUGAAGCUCAAAUUUGUGUGCCUAUCAAUAAAGUUUUAUCAGACUGCCAAC
rnacentral:lncRNA from 1 species